rnacentral:rRNA from 1 species
CAAGCAGGUUAAUAUUCCUGCGCCAUCUUGUAGACGUUGAACCGAGGAAGGACGGAGAAAGCUAGGCGAGCUGACCGGUGGUUGUGUCAGUCCAAAGGCGUAGGGGUGUCGCGUACGAAUAAAGGCGCGGCAGCUAUCCCCGAGACCCCAUGGCCCCCCUCACGGGGCAAGUCGCUGAUGCUCGGCUUCCAAGAAAAGUUCCGCGGGGAGUCUACAGGGUGUCCGUACCGCAAACCGACACAGGUGGGUGAGGAGAAAAUCCUAAGGCGCUUGAGAGAACUCUCCUCCAAGGAACUAGGCAAAUUUCCACCGUAACUUCGGAAGAAGGUGGGCCUCUGACAGGUGUAGGCGUACAGCCGAAGCCGAGAGAGGUUGCAGAGAAAUGGCGGUAGCGACUGUUUACCAAAAACACAGGACUCUGCGAAGGCAAGAAGCCGACGUAUAGGGUCUGACUCCUGCCCGGUGCUGGAAGGUUAAGGGGAUUCGUCAGCCGCAAGGUGAAGCGAUGAUCCGAAGCCCCAGUAAACGGCGGCCGUAACUAUAACGGUCCUAAGGUAGCGAAAUUCCUUGUCGGGUAAGUUCCGACCUGCACGAAUGGAGUAACGACUUCCGCGCUGUCUCGGAGAGGGACUCAGCGAAAUUGAAAUAGCUGUGCCGAUGCAGUUUACCCGCAGCAAGACGGAAAGACCCCGUGAACCUUUACUACAACUUGACAGUGACACUAGGGUUCGACUGUGUAGGAUAGGUGGGAGCCUUUGAAGCCGGGCCGCUAGGUUCGGUGGAGGCAACGGUGAAAUACCACCCUGUCGGAUUCUGGUGUCUAACCAUGCUCCCUCACCGGGAGUUGGAACACUGUCUGGUGGGUAGUUUGACUGGGGCGGUCGCCUCCCAAAACGUAACGGAGGCGCGCGAUGGUUCCCUCAGCCCGAUUGGAAACCGGGCGGCGAGUGCAAUGGCAUAAGGGAGCUUGACUGCGAGACGGACACGUCGAGCAGGUGCGAAAGCAGGUCAUAGUGAUCCGGUGGUCCUGAAUGGAAGGGCCAUCGCUCAACGGAUAAAAGGUACUCCGGGGAUAACAGGCUUAUCUCCCCCAAGAGUUCACAUCGACGGGGAGGUUUGGCACCUCGAUGUCGGCUCAUCGCAUCCUGGGGCUGGAGCAGGUCCCAAGGGUUUGGCUGUUCGCCAAUUAAAGCGGUACGCGAGCUGGGUUCAAAACGUCGUGAGACAGUUUGGUCCCUAUCUGCUGUGGGCGUAGGAUACUUGAGAGGCUCUGACCUUAGUACGAGAGGACCGGGUUGGAGACACCGCUGGUGUACCAGUUGUCUCGCCAGAGGCAUCGCUGGGUAGCCAUGUGUCGAUU